rnacentral:lncRNA from 1 species
AUAAACGACUCACAGGGCCAGACCCGUGGCCGAGUGGUUGAAGUUCCACGUGCUCUGCUUCAGCAGCCCAGGUUCAGGGGUUUGGAUCCUGGGUGUAGACGCACACCACUCGUCAGCCAUGCUGUGGGGGUGACCCACACACGAAAUAGAGGAAGACUGGCACAGAAGUUAGCUCAGGGCUAACAUUCCUCAAGCAAAAAGAGGAAGAUUGGCAACAGAUGUUGGAUUAGGGUGACUCUUCCUUGGCAAAAAAGAAAGAAAAAAAGACCCAUUCAGAGUGUAUCUAUAAGCACAGAUGUGAGAUGCAUCCCUGUCCUCACCCUCACUAGAGUCCUUUGCAAGAAGCUGGCAAGAAACCUGGCUUCCUGCCAAAUGUGCCGUGAUUAGGAUGAAAAAAUGAAACAGGACACAGCAGAGCACAGGUAACUGGAAGGCUGACAGUUUUGUUUUCGUUUUUAGGCAAGCAAAACUAUUUAAAGAAGAAAUAGAGCAGAAAAAAAUCCACUGACAUUCUCCUAUGAAAGAAACAGGAUGGCCUUCUAAAAGAAAACAAUUUCUAGGCCAAUGUUGCCUGACACCCUAAGACUAUUUUCCCUUAAAAAUAAUCUUUGGGGUCCAUUUCCAGUAACAUGGGGGCCAAAAUCACCUGAAAGUCCUCCCACAGAGCGACACACUUAGAAAUAAGGAUUAAAAAAGUCAGCCUGUUUAAGUAGAGCUGAGUUUGCAGGUAAUUGAAGAAACUCCUAGGGGUCCACGCCCAGAGCAUUUAGCGGACGUGGAGUUCAGCUCUGAGGCUGGGCCACAGCAGCUUGGUCAUCUCCCUAGUGAGGUGCUCAGGUUCUGGUGGCCAUGUGGAGGCAGGAGACAGAGCCUUGGACCUCAGUACGGCCGGGGUUGGAAUCGAGACCCCUGUGGAAAGUUGGAGCCUUCACAGGCCCACAGCUUCAGUGAGGGCGAGCUAGACGAGAACCGGCUCAGGAGCGUGGAGACAGCCUGGGCCUGGGGAGGUGGAGGGAAAGGUCCCCCAUGAGGAUGGGGAGCCCCAAGCCUGCUUGCAUGCGGGCCUGGGCCUCAGGAUGUGUCUCUCCUGCAAGGCCCAGUGAUCCUCCAGGUCAAAGUCAGCAUGAAGGACCCCUCGCUGUUGGUCUCCCUCAAAUCCAGGCAGAAGCAACAAAGACGGCUCUAGAGGGUCAUCUUUCCCGCAGGAUCCCCACAGGCAAAGCCGCCCUGAGCACGAUGCACAACAAAAACUCACAGAGCACACGAGAGCGGCACCAUGAGCCCCUGUGAGAACCAGGAGCUGCAUUCGACACCAGCCCUUCAGACAGUGGAAUCAUCAGACCCACAGGCUAAAACGGCCGUGUUAACACGAUUAAAGGUGUAAGUGAAAACAGGGAGUAAGAACAGACUUUUGUUUUUAGAAAAAGACCAAGUGGUUGUGAAAGAGAAUUCCAGAAAUUAAAAAAAAAAAAAACGUUUUAAAGUUAAAAACUCAAUGGAGUGGUUAAACCACAGAUUGAGCACAGCUAAGGAGAAAAGUGGUAAAAUGGAAUACGGACACAGAAGACAGCACGGAGAGAUAAACAGAAUUAGGAAAGAGAGGGAAAGAGACACAGAGAGCUAAGGGAAAAAAGUCACCUUCACAGAAGCAAUGGGCAGAGUGUUCCCGGACAGGUGGAGUGCGAUGCGAAUGCUCAGCUCAGGAAGUGAGUCCUGAGCAGGAAGAACACAGCUGCCUUCACACCCAAGGCACUUAGGUGAGUCACCAGAACACCAGCACAAGUGAUCACAGCCAGAACACAGCAUCUCCUAUGUGCUCAACGCUUUACUCAAAGCUCAUCCUUUUAAUAUGUUGGCCUAUUUCCUUCCAGUCUUUCAUCUAUGCAUGUUUAGUACACAUACAAAAAUUUCAGGGGAAAAUCAGAUUGAUACAAUACACAUAAUUUUGUAUGUACUUUUUUUACUCAGCGUUUUCCCAUGAGCAUUUUCCCAGGUCACUACGCAGCAGCAGCAGACUGCAUCAAUAAGAGCGAAGACUUGAGUUAUGGUUACCAACGUGGGAUGUGAAGUCAAGCGUUCUGUGUCUGAGUCCCAGCUCACGACUCACCAGCUGUGUGACCUUGGACAAGAGACCGGGCCUUAGAAAGAAUGUGAAGUGAUUUGCCCCAAAUCACAUGGCCGCUGAUGGUGCUUCGACUUGAAUUGAGAUGUGUCUGCAAAAUCUGCGCCCUUGAUGCCACACUCUUCUUCCAUACGUUUGAACGGCCUCAGAGUCUGCACAGACCGUGAAGCUCAUCACGAGAGGCCCCCAGUGCUGCUCAUCUCCGCUUAUUUCCCUAUUUCUGUGCUUUGUCCAUGUUUCUUUAGACAUGUUCAUUUUUCUAAUUUCUAUGUUGUAUAGUUAUAUAUUACGUUAUGUUAUACAUUAUGGUAUAUGUAUUAUAUGUUAUGUGUGUAUAUAUGCAUAUGUGUUAUAUAUAAUAUAUUGUCUAUUAUGUUUUAUAUAGUUACAAUGUAUAGAUAUUAGCCAGGUAGUUGAAAUUAGGGCAAGGAUUUUCUGCACAGGAAAUCCACAGGGACAACCUUCACCAAAACCGGCAGAAGAGCCCAGCAAGAUGGCUCCAGAGCUCCCACUGCUCUGGAGCCAGAGGGACAGAUUCCUGUGUGUGUCUCACUAGUUCCUCCCCAGACUGCAGAAUCAGUAUCCUGUCGAGUCAGAUGUUUUGCCUGUUGUUCAGACUAAUGCUUCCCGGACAUUUCCAUGAGAUGGCUCUAGUGAUGAUAUUUUUUUCCCAAAGA